rnacentral:lncRNA from 1 species
UUACAGGUUGUGGUGACUUUUCUAUCAGUGAUACACACUUCUUAUCUGACCCCUGUUCAAGUCCUGACAGGGGGAAGUGACGGUCCCUCAGUGCCAAAGAGGGGAUGAUAUACGCCCCCAUGUCAGGAGUUGGUGGUGUUGUCUAUGACAAGGAUGCUGUAUAUAUAGAUCUUGGUGGCAGUCAUUCACAUACACAGGCUGGUGAGGUAGAGAGGGAAUUUCCUAAAUUAUCGUUGUAAUACAAAAUUUAUCCUUUCUUAACAUAAAAUAUUAUACAAAAUGUGUUUAACUUAGAUAUGUUAGCGAGG